rnacentral:lncRNA from 1 species
AUUCCUCAUCUGGAAAAUGCAGAUAACAGGAUGAAGGCGGACAGAGCCCCCUGUCCUUAAGAAAGGGGAAGUAUGGGUGGAAGAGGGUAGCAGUGGCACAUCAGGCAACAGAGACAAAAAUAAGGGGAUGGUUUGAUAGUUUUAUGGAGUCAUAAAACUAGCCAUUAUUUAUCAAGAAUCUUCUAAAUGUUGGGAACUUUGAAAACAUCAUUUUAUUAUAAUCACCCUACAAAUGGGAAUGGCCCUCUGUUUAAAGAGUUAAAAAAAAAAAAAGUAGGUGGAACAAAAUUAAGUAACUUGUCUAAGGCCAAACAAGUGGCUGGUAGAUCGGUUCUCAGGCCAGUCUAACUUUAGUUGCUAUUCUGUUUCUUCUAUGCCAAGUAAAGCGGUAUUUCAUUGUGUUUGGUGUUCUCGGGGAAGGUUUGGCACUCCUGGAGUUGCUAAGAUUUGGAUUUGCAGAGGUUGAAGAACAACACAUUCAGGCAGAGAGGACAGAGGAAGCAAAAAUGCAGCGUGAAAUCUCCAGGCCAUGAGCGGAGGGCUGUGUGUUAGAAGAUGAAUUUGGAAAGGGCCAUUUGCUCAGACCACGCAGGGUCGUCGAGGUUAGACUAAAAUACUUGCAUUUAUUUAUUUGGAAAGGGAGCUGAAAGCCAUUUUCAAUAGGUCUUGAGCACAGGCGUGGAUGUGCCCCACUUUGAAACCACGGCAUCUCCUUGACAACCAGAACCUGAUUAGAAUUUCAGGACCUCGUGGAAACAGGAUGUGCAAAGUAAGGGGAAUGCCAUCUUUGGGGGGUUCUCUGCCUAUCUGGAAUAAUCUCCAGAGUAUUUUGGCACAUCCCCACUGGGGGUGUACACCAGGCUUUUGUGGGUCUUCAUCCUCAAUAUCUGGGACCUUAAACAUGACUGUACCCAUAAUUAGACUGGUGAGUUCGGGGCAGAAAUAUCCAAACUUCAGAGCAUAAGAAUCCCUGAGGAACCUGUUAAAGAUCUAGAUUCAUAGAAUCACCCCCCAACAGUUCUGAUUUAGUGCGUAUGGGCCAGAGGCCAGGGACCUCCAUUUUUAAAAAGCUCCCAGGUAACUGGUGGCCACUGGUCAGACCUUGAAGGAGAAUGGCUGGGGCAUAAGAACUUUCCAGUUCUGAAUGCAUUAAAAACACAAGUGCAUGCCACAGGGUAAUAUUUGAAGUCUGUGAAAAGAAAAAGAAAAAAAGCAAAGUAAACUGCAGAAAGACAAGUGGAUACAGAAAGUAAUCAUAAAAUCACUAAUGGGGGCAGGAUACAAGGAAAAGGAGUAUUUUCUGCUGGCUUGUCAGUGAAGGUUUCUGCUAUGCUUUACUCCCACGGGUGGAGUAAAUUGAUAGUUCUCCACCACGACGCACCCAGAAUCACCUGGAGACUUUAAAAACACCGAUGUCUGAGAACCAAUCGCCCACCCUGAGAUUCUGAUGGAAUUAGUACGAGUUGCACCCAGGACAUUUGAUCUUGAAACCUCUCCUGGGGAUUCCAACAUCCAGCACACUUUGAGAACCAGUAGGCAAGAAUUCGAAACACGUCCCACUGAGCGGAUACCUUGCUAACCGUGGAGACAGUGGCAGCCUGGAUUGACCGCACUGACCUGCAGACAGACUGGGGAGAAGACAGAUGCGGCAGAGAUGCAAAGGAAGCCCAGCUGCUCCUUGCAGUGGGAUCUCAGAAGUGCUGGGAAGGUGAACGCAGAAACACACCCGUUUCUCGGGACCCGGAGGAACAGGAGGCAAGUGUCCAUUCUUGCCUGUGAACGGAACACUGGCAGAUUGAAGUUAUUGUCGAUUUCUCUACGCUUUUAUAUCUGUAUUUCUAUGGACCUAAAUGUCUGUAUGUGCACUUACAAGUACGGUCCACGAGCUACUUGUGCCUUUGUCAUUGUUCUUCUCCUUAUAACUCUGUGGUAAGCAUGAAAUAUGUCCAUGAAGAUAAGACAUG